rnacentral:rRNA from 1 species
AUUGAACGCUGGCGGCAUGCUUUACACAUGCAAGUCGAACGGCAGCGCGGGCUUCGGCCUGGCGGCGAGUGGCGAACGGGCGAGUAAUGCAUCGGAACGUGCCCAGUAGUGGGGGAUAGCCCGGCGAAAGCCGGAUUAAUACCGCACACGACCUGAGGGUGAAAGCGGGGGACCGAAAGGCCUCGCGCUAUUGGAGCGGCCGAUGUCGGAUUAGCUAGUUGGUGGGGUAAAGGCUUACCAAGGCGACGAUCCGUAGCUGGUCUGAGAGGACGACCAGCCACACUGGAACUGAGACACGGCCCAGACUCCUACGGGAGGCAGCAGUGGGGAAUUUUGGACAAUGGGGGCAACCCUGAUCCAGCCAUGCCGCGUGCGGGAAGAAGGCCUUCGGGUUGUAAACCGCUUUUGUUCGGGAAGAAAACCUCUGGGCUAAUACCCCGGGGGGAUGACGGUACCGGAAGAAUAAGCACCGGCUAACUACGUG